AUUUUCUUCGGGAAGGGGAGCACUGUAACAACAAAAUGUAAUUUUUCUUCUUCAUUAUUAAAAAAGUAAGGCUCGCGUUAGUUCCGAACUCCUACAGCCAUCUAGCUAAGGAUUAGCGUACUAGCUAACGCGCGAUCGAACACUAUGGGUCGGAAUUGCCAGCUUCAAAUCCGGAAGAAACAUUGCGCUUCCCCGCAUUCCUGUGUUUUUUUCAUAGAACCUAUUUAAUUAUAGUGGUUUUUCUUUAACAUUAUGUUAUUUCUGCGCAGUUGUUUAGUUCUUUUUAAAUAAAACCGAAGGAACCAUAAACGAUCGUUUUGUCUGUGGAGUCAUGUAGUGUUUGCACGAGCCUAAUUCGGACUUGGCAACCCCGUCGGCCUAUCUGUCACUCAAGAUGUCGGAAAGGAAGGGAGAUCUUCUUUUUGUUCGUUUCGAGCCGGGAUCGGCUAUACCCUUUGAGAUCGGGCUCCAUCGCCCAUUUGAGUAAGUGUUAUAGUGGUUGCGUUGUUUAUUUUGUAAGAAUAAAGUGCCUUUUUUAAUGUAGGUUGCGUAUUUUCAGCCCCGGCAUAACAUGCUAACCUUAAAUUUGUUGCUGCGUUGAAGAGCGAUACAUCGCGUGCCCCGGGUGUUGACAUAAGCUGCAUAAUUUCCAUGCAAGCCUUUUAUCCACCAACGGGGUUCACGGCGGGGCGCUAACUACCUGGCUAACUCGCGCGGUCUCCGACCACCUGCCUCAUGCACCGGUAACCCCAAAUAAUACCAGCGGUAGUGAGCUGUCGCUGACCUUUUGUAACCAUCCGUCCAGGCCUACACAGAACGUGGCGGCUGGGGUACAAUUCCCGAUGUUGGAGGUUAGACCCAUCCUUUAUUAACUAUAUGACAUUUGGACCAGAUCGACUGGCCCUGGCGCCCAUAUACAUCUCCUGUAUUUUCUAAA